ACUGGUAUAUAAACCAGAUAAAAGUGAAUGCAAACGAACAAAACAUCAUUCCGAAUACAAUCGCCUAAAAUACCAACAACAUGAACAGCUUUACAAUUAUCAUCGCUAGCGCAGCUACCCUACUGUUCUUUAUGGCAACUCAGGCUAAUGCCUGCGUCAUACCGGUCAAUCCAGAAAAGAUUAUGGAGGUCUUUGGAAAAGUGAUGGAAAAGGGACAACAGGCAAUUAUAGGCCAACAAUAAUUUUAUAUCUAGUAGGUUCAAUUUAUAAAUUGAAGGUAAUGUUGGCAUAUAACAACAACAAAUGUCGCAAUG